GUAGGUGGCAAGCGUUGUCCGGAAUUAUUGGGCGUAAAGCGCGCGCAGGCGGUCCUUUAAGUCUGAUGUGAAAGCCCACGGCUCAACCGUGGAGGGUCAUUGGAAACUGGGGGACUUGAGUACAGAAGAGGAAAGCGGAAUUCCAAGUGUAGCGGUGAAAUGCGUAGAGAUUUGGAGGAACACCAGUGGCGAAGGCGGCUUUCUGGUCUGUAACUGACGCUGAGGCGCGAAAGCGUGGGGAGCAAACAGGGAUUAGAUACCCUGGUAGUCCACGCCGUAAACGAUGAGUGCUAAGUGUUAGGGGGUUUCCCGCCCCUUAGUGCUGCAGCUAACGCAUCAAGCACUCCGCCUGGGGAGUACGGCCGCAAGGCUG
rnacentral:rRNA from 1 species